UAAGACGAACCGUGCGAACGUUGUUCGGAAUCACUGGGCUUAAAGGGCGCGUAGGCGGUCGAUCAAGUCUGGGGUGAAAUCUUUCGGCUUAACCGGAAAAGUGCCUUGGAUACUGAUCGGCUCGAGGGAGGUAGGGGCAGCUGGAACUUCCGGUGGAGCGGUGAAAUGCGUUGAUAUCGGAAGGAACGCCGGUGGCGAAAGCGAGCUGCUGGACCUUUUCUGACGCUGAGGCGCGAAAGCUAGGGGAGCAAACGGGAUUAGAUACCCCGGUAGUCCUAGCCCUAAACGAUGGGUACUAGGUAGUGGACUUAACAUGGGUUCACUGCCGAAGCAAAAGUGUUAAGUACCCCGCCUGGGGAGUAUGGUCGCAAGGCUG
rnacentral:rRNA from 1 species